rnacentral:rRNA from 1 species
GACGAACGCUGGCGGCGUGCCUAAUACAUGCAAGUCGAACGCAGUGGGGACGGGUGAGUAACACGUGGGUAACCUCCCAUCAGAGGGGAUAACACUUGGAAACAGGUGCUAAACCGAUACUGAUGGAUGAACCCGCGGUGCAUUAGCUAGAUGGUGAGGUAACGGCUCACCAAGGCCACGAUGCAUAGCGGACCUGAGAGGGGGAUCGGCCACACUGGGACUUAGACACGGCCCAGACUCCUACGGGAGGAAGCAGUAGGGAAUAUGCGGCAAUGGACGAAAGUCUGACCGAGCAACGCCGCGUGAGUGAAGAAGGUUUUCGGGUCGUAAAAUUCUGUUGUUAGAGAAGCGUUAUCUAAACAGAAAGCCCCGGCUAACUACGUGCCAGCAGCCGCGGUAAUUC